rnacentral:misc_RNA from 1 species
GAGAGCAGAAUUCAGCGUGUUGCGUGAGAAUAUUACGGUUUCGUUUUAUUACGUAUCGUUAAUGAUCGCGAUAAUUAUUUCCCGCACAAUUAGAUGAUUGAAUUAUUGUUCCUGUUGUGUAAUCUACCUAUAUUUUUUAUUUCUUUGUAAAUAAAACGUUAAUGAAAUGCUCUCAGGUGCUUUUUUUCUAACACGAUUAUUUUGAACCGCAGAAUAAUCGACGAAGAAGUGACUAACUGUGCAUAAGAUUCGUUUCGUAGGCGGACCGUUAUUCGGAGAUAUUCGCAAGAUAUUUGUAGUCACGAGACUACAUAGUCACAAAGGCUCAUCGCUCUAAAGUUCAAACAAAAGCACGAAUACAUACAUCCCACGCGUGUUCUUAUACACGUAUAAUCAAACGCCAUGUUCAAGCGUCGAAAAACGAACAUCUAUUGCAGUAUGCGGAAAAACGGCACACCCCAACAG